rnacentral:rRNA from 1 species
AGGAUUCCCUAGUAACUGCGAGUGAAGCGGGAAAAGCUCAAAUUUAAAAUCUGGCAGUCUCUGGCUGUCCGAGUUGUAAUCUAGAGAAGUAAUGCCCGUGCUGGACCGUGUAUAAGUCUCCUGGGAUGGGGCGUCAUAGAGGGUGAGAAUCCCGUCUUUGACACGGACUACCAGUGCAUUGUGGUAUGCUCUCAAAGAGUCGAGUUGUUUGGGAAUGCAGCUCAAAAUGGGUGGUAAAUUCCAUCUAAAGCUAAAUAUUGGCGAGAGACCGAUAGCGAACAAGUACCGUGAGGGAAAGAUGAAAAGAACUUUGGAAAGAGAGUUAAACAGUACGUGAAAUUGCUGAAAGGGAAACGCUUGAAGUCAGUCGCGUUGGCCGGGAAUCAGCCUUGCUUCUGCACGGUGUACUUUCUGGUUGACGGGUCAGCAUCAAUUUUGACCGCUGGAAAAAGGCCUGGGGAAUGUGGCAGCUUCGGCUGUGUUAUAGCCCCUAGUCGCAUACAGUGGUUGGGAUUGAGGAACUCAGCACGCCGCAAGGCCGGGUUUCGACCACGUUCGUGCUUAGGAUGCUGGCAUAAUGGCUUUAAGCGACCCGUCUUGAAACACGGACCAAGGAGUCUAACAUGCCUGCGAGUAUUUGGGUGGAAAACCCAAGUGCGUAAUGAAAGUGAAAGUUGAGAUCCCUGUCGCGGGGAGCAUCGACGCCCGGACCAGAACUUUUGGGACGGAUCCGCGGUGGAGCAUGUAUGUUGGGACCCGAAAGAUGGUGAACUAUGCCUGAAUAGGGUGAAGCCAGAGGAAACUCUGGUGGAGGCUCGUAGCGAUUCUGACGUGCAAAUCGAUCGUCAAAUUUGGGUAUAGGGGCGAAA